rnacentral:rRNA from 1 species
GACGAACGCUGGCGGCGUGCUUAACACAUGCAAGUCGAACGAAGAGCGAUGGAAGCUUGCUUCUAUCAAUCUUAGUGGCGAACGGGUGAGUAACGCGUAAUCAACCUGCCCUUCAGAGGGGGACAACAGUUGGAAACGACUGCUAAUACCGCAUACGAUCUAAUCUCGGCAUCGAGGAUAGAUGAAAGGUGGCCUCUACAUGUAAGCUAUCACUGAAGGAGGGGAUUGCGUCUGAUUAGCUAGUUGGAGGGGUAACGGCCCACCAAGGCGAUGAUCAGUAGCCGGUCUGAGAGGAUGAACGGCCACAUUGGGACUGAGACACGGCCCAGACUCCUACGGGAGGCAGCAGUGGGGAAUCUUCCGCAAUGGACGAAAGUCUGACGGAGCAACGCCGCGUGAGUGAUGACGGCCUUCGGGUUGUAAAGCUCUGUUAAUCGGGACGAAAGGCCUUCUUGCGAAUAGUGAGAAGGAUUGACGGUACCGGAAUAGAAAGCCACGGCUAACUACGUGCCAGCAGCCGCGGUAAUACGUAGGUGGCAAGCGUUGUCCGGAAUUAUUGGGCG